GCUUAACACAUGCAAGUCGAGGGGCAGCAUUUCAGUUUGCUUGCAAACUGGAGAUGGCGACCGGCGCACGGGUGAGUAACACGUAUCCAACCUGCCGAUAACUCGGGGAUAGCCUUUCGAAAGAAAGAUUAAUACCCGAUGGUAUAAUCAGACCGCAUGGUCUUGUUAUUAAAGAAUUUCGGUUAUCGAUGGGGAUGCGUUCCAUUAGGCAGUUGGUGAGGUAACGGCUCACCAAACCUUCGAUGGAUAGGGGUUCUGAGAGGAAGGUCCCCCACAUUGGAACUGAGACACGGUCCAAACUCCUACGGGAGGCAGCAGUGAGGAAUAUUGGUCAAUGGGCGCAGGCCUGAACCAGCCAAGUAGCGUGAAGGAUGACUGCCCUAUGGGUUGUAAACUUCUUUUAUAUGGGAAUAAAGUUUUCCACGUGUGGAAUUUUGUAUGUACCAUAUGAAUAAGGAUCGGCUAACUCCGUGCCAGCAGCCGCGGUAAUACGGAGGAUCCGAGCGUUAUCCGGAUUUAUUGGGUUUAAAGGGAGCGUAGGUGGACAGUUAAGUCAGUUGUGAAAGUUUGCGGCUCAACCGUAAAAUUGCAGUUGAUACUGGCUGUCUUGAGUACAGUAGAGGUGGGCGGAAUUCGUGGUGUAGCGGUGAAAUGCUUAGAUAUCACGAAGAACUCCGAUUGCGAAGGCAGCUCACUGGACUGCAACUGACACUGAUGCUCGAAAGUGUGGGUAUCAAACAGGAUUAGAUACCCUGGUAGUCCACACAGUAAACGAUGAAUACUCGCUGUUUGCGAUAUACAGUAAGCGGCCAAGCGAAAGCAUUAAGUAUUCCACCUGGGGAGUACGCCGGCAACGGUGAAACUCAAAGGAAUUGACGGGGGCCCGCACAAGCGGAGGAACAUGUGGUUUAAUUCGAUGAUACGCGAGGAACCUUACCCGGGCUUAAAUUGCAUUUGAAUAUAUUGGAAACAGUAUAGCCGUAAGGCAAAUGUGAAGGUGCUGCAUGGUUGUCGUCAGCUCGUGCCGUGAGGUGUCGACUUAAGUGCCAUAACGAGCGCAACCCUUAUCUUUAGUUACUAACAGGUCAUGCUGAGGACUCUAGAGAGACUGCCGUCGUAAGAUGUGGGGAAGGUGGGGAUGACGUCAAAUCAGCACGGCCCUUACGUCCGGGGCUACACACGUGUUACAAUGGGGGGUACAGAAGGCAGCUACCUGGUGACAGGAUGCUAAUCCCAAAAGCCUCUCUCAGUUCGGAUCGAAGUCUGCAACCCGACUUCGUGAAGCUGGAUUCGCUAGUAAUCGCGCAUCAGCCAUGGCGCGGUGAAUACGUUCCCGGGCCUUGUACACACCGCCCGUCAAGCCAUGAAAGCCGGGGGUACCUGAAGUACGUAACCGCAAGGAGCGUCCUAGGGUAAAACUGGUAAUUGGGGC
rnacentral:rRNA from 1 species